rnacentral:lncRNA from 1 species
GUGCACUCAGUCUUCAGGAGGAGGCAUCCCCUGUGGUUGCAGAACUUCCGCUAUCCUUGGUUGCCCAGGAUAAACUGGUGGAAUCAUGACUCAUUUUUGUCAUUGGGACCACAGGAGGAGGGGUCAGAAGAUAGUGAAAUGUUCAGUGAGCACUCACAUUUCGUUAGAUGCACUGUCUCUGAACCCGAGAACUUACUCAGAACUUCAGGAUGGGAGCGUGCAGUCACCAAGUGUUAAGUCGAAGAUUCCGGACUGUUUAGGAUGCUUCACCUUGUGCUCCAUAAGUUACUCAUCUGAUAUUACAUUGGAAGCAGAAGAAAUUCCCAGCAAAGUGACCUAUGUUGCAAGACUCAAAGGAGGGAUAGAGAGUGGGAGUUGGCUCAGCUGGUGAAGAGCUUGCUGAACAUAAAGACCUGAGCUUGGAUCUCCCAACAUCCUUGUGAAGGGAUAGGCAUAGCCCCUGAAUCUUCAGAGCUGUGAUGAUGGAAGCAAUGGAUCCUCAGAGCUUGCUGGUCAGUCAACCUGCUUGAGUUCAGCUCUAGAUUCUGUGUGACCCUGACUCAAAAACUAAGGUGUGGAGUGACUGAGGAAGGGAUCUGAUGUCAACCACUUGUUCCCAUUUACACACACACACACACACACACACACACACACACACACACACACUCACUUAAAUACAAAUUAAAUUAUUUGUUGAAAAUGAUAAAAAGAUGAACGUCAUGCAGUUAGAAG